rnacentral:lncRNA from 1 species
UAAUAAUAACAAUUCAUCCCAGUCAUCUGGAUGAAGAAUCAUUUGUUAUGAAUGUUCAAUAAGCCAACAAUUUGUUACUUAACCAAUAAGAAGGUGAAACUAAUGGUUUUGAAGAAAACGAAAAGCAAAAGAAUGAAAGGUUUCUAGAAUUACAGAAGAAGUAACCUAUGAAGAUGAAGGCCUUCCAAAUCUGGCAGUGCAUUGUGCAAUGCUUUCCCCAAAAGUAAAAGGUGACUUGCAAAGGAAUAGCAUAUUUUAAACGAAGUGUUCAUCGAAUGGUAAACUCUGGGUGUACAUUUAUCAUUGAUGGAGGGAGCUGUGAAAAAUCUUGCUUUUAAGGAGAUGGUCACGAAGUUGAAUCUAGAGAUGCUUUCACAUCCAAGGCCAUAUCUAAUAGCCUGGUUCAACGAGGGAAGGGAGGUAAUGAUAACACAUUAAUGUCUUGUUCCUUUCUCAAUCGUGCAAAAUUAUAUGGACAAGUUUUAUAUGAUGUAGUGGAAAUGGAGGCUUGUCACAUGCUCUUAGGAAGGCCAUGGCAAUACAAUAAUAAGACUGCGCACCAUAGAGAACACUGCAUUUUACAAAGAUGGAGCCAAAGUAGGAAUUGCCCCAAUAAAGGAAGAAGACUUUACCAAGUCAAAAGUGGAACAUAAGAAUUCAUAUUUAAGAACAUGCUCUUAGGAAGGCCAUGGCAGUACAAUAACAAGAC